GUGAUUACUGGUAAUUUUUAUUUUUACAAGUUUUCUGACACAGAGAUUAGUCUUAUACUCAGAAGGUUAUCACAAUAUAUUGCUACAUGAAAAAGAUUACAAAAAAUCAUAUACAAUAUGAUCCUACAUUUGCUAUUUAAAAAAAUAUGUAUGCAUAUAAAAAAUAUUAACAAAACGUAAAAUAACUCCAUUUGAAUAGUGGAAUUAUAAAUUUUUAUUAUUUUCUAAAUUCUUAUAAUGAGAAUCCAUUACCUUUGUAACUAUGAAACAAUUAAAGGGAGAAAAAAGUUUCUCUUGUGCUUUCUCAGGAAGGGCCUCAUAUCUCUUGAUCUCAACCAAUGUGACCUGUUGCUAUGGAUCUACUUUCCAUCCCAGUCCUUGUUCUGAAAGUGCUCCUGUUUCACUCCCAACAUGGGUCUCUUCAUCUCUCUCCCCACCACUAAACCUAUCUAAACCUCUUUCUCCUACUCAGCUCUGAAGUUCCCUAAAAAUGGUUUAGGCGACCCUUCCGGUCCUGGUGAGAGAUGAGGAAGAGCACUAAAGUAGUGGCAGUCUGGAAGGAAAGACUGGGCUGAAUUUAGGAGAUAUUUGUAAGGUGAAAGACUUUAGUCACUGGAGGUGAAGGGGAGAGAGGAACAGAUUUCUAAUCUGGACAGCUCGAGAUGGAUGGUGACCAAGAAUAUGGGAGAAAAACAGGUUUAGAAAGUAAGUUGAAGGGGAUCCCUGGGUGGCGCAGCGGUUUGGCGCCUGCCUUUGGCCCAGGAUGCGAUCCUGGAGACCCGGGAUCGAAUCCCACGUCGGGCUCCCGGUGCAUGGAGCCUGCUUCUCCCUCUGCCUGUGUCUCUGCCUCAUUCUCUCUUUCUCUCUGUGACUAUCACAAAUAAAUAAAAAUUUAAAAAAAAAAAUUAGAAAGUAAGUUGAGUUUCACACUACAAUGGUCCUGGGAGAGAUGUCCAGUAGGUGGUGGUUAGGUAUGUACAUGUUGAAAGUUAGGAAAGGUCUAGAUUUGGGAAUGAGGACUCUAUGAGUAAACAGCAGUUGAAAUCAUGGGAGUGGAUGCAGUCAGCCAGAAGUGCUAGGAGCAAGGAGCAAACAAGGAUCCUGGAUGGAAUCUUUGGGAUUCUCUCUUAAGAGGUGAGAAGGACUCUAUAAAAACAGACAGGUAGGCAGCAAGCCACUUGAGUAGCUGAGGUAAAUGAGAGUUAGGGGAAGUAGAGGCAGUAAAUAUUUAGACAGUCCUAUCACCUGGUGGUGGAAGAGGUCAGAAACUGAUGGUCUAGGUUUUAAAGGAAUACUGAAUUAGCUGUCAGGAUUUACAAUUAAGUAAAUUUCUCAUAAAUCUGGAUUUCUGGUCUCUUGCAAAAAUUCAGAAGAUCCAAUAAACACUGUUUUUGCAUGGCCAAUAGGAACAACCAAGAGGGAUCAAAUAAAAGCUACUUCCUUUUAGUCAGCCAGGAGCUCUAUCCCUGCUUGCCUAGCCCUUGCUUUAUAGAGUAUGAGGAAAUACUUCCCUUUGUGAAUGAAUCAAGUCCUUAUUAGUACUUAUCUAGAGUUCAGAGAAAUAAUAGGCUAGAGUUUGGUUCAUAAAGCCCCACACGUGCCCCUGAAUGCAGGAAUCCUGGGACAAACACACCUGAAUCCUGUACCAGAGCAGAUUGGGAACC
rnacentral:lncRNA from 1 species